UACGUAGGUGGCAAGCGUUAUCCGGAAUUAUUGGGCGUAAAGCGCGCGCAGGCGGUUUCUUAAGUCUGAUGUGAAAGCCCACGGCUCAACCGUGGAGGGUCAUUGGAAACUGGGAAACUUGAGUGCAGAAGAGAAGAGUGGAAUUUCCGGUGUAGCGGUGAAAUGCGUAGAUAUCGGAAGGAACACCAGUGGCGAAAGCGGCUUCCUGGUCCAGCACCGACGUUCAGGCACGAAAGCGUGGGGAGCAAACAGG
rnacentral:rRNA from 1 species